AGUGUGGCACUCUGGGUCCUUUCUCUGUUCCGGUUCCCCUGAGUGGUGAGCUUCAGGCUGAAAGACAUUUAGGAAUUGCUGCCCCUAAGGAAAACAGUCACCACACUCAUGGCAGGGAUUUUGCGCUCAAUAGUUCAGAGGCCCCCAGGCAGACUACAAAUGGUGACAAAAGGUGUGGAGCCCCUUGUUUGUACAGAUUGGAUUCGUCACAAAUUUACAAAGUCAAGAAUUCCAGAUAAAGUUUUUCAACCUUCACCUGAAGAUCAUGAAAAAUAUGGUGGGGAUCCACAGCAGCCUCAUAAACUGCAUAUUGUUACCAGAAUAAAAAGUACAAAAAGACGUCCAUAUUGGGAGAAAGAUAUAAUAAAGAUGCUUGGGUUACAAAAAGCACAUACUCCUCAAGUUCACAAGAAUAUCCCUUCGGUGAAUGCAAAACUGAAAGUGGUUAAACAUUUGAUAAGAAUCAAGCCCCUGAAGCUGCCACAAGGUCUCCCAAGAGAGGAGGACAUGUCCAGCACGUGCCUCAAGAGCACUGGAGAGCUGGUGGUGGGGUGGCUUCAGAACCCCACGGACCAGGAAGUGAAUAAGUCCUGAUGGCCUCGCGGCUUCAGAGUAAAAAGUGCAAGUCAUUUCUAUUUCAAGAUGGUACCUGGAGUGGUGGGGAGAAGUAAGAAUUUUAAGAGAGGUUCAGUACCGGGAAAUUCUGUGGCAGCUAACUGAAGUUGGUGCUGAGGACUCAGAAUUCUAGUUGCCCUUUAUUUUCCUUGUCUCGUAAAAUUUGACUCAGGCAGCAGUGACAUUGGCAUACUCACUGCCUAUGGUCCCAGCAUCUGUCCUGUCAUAGAGUUUUGGCAUCAAGUAGAAGUGCUGUGUGAAGUGAAGCCAGAUAUCAUUAAUGAAUAAGCUUCAGGAUAAUCACACUUUCAAUUCCACAAUUAUUGAAUAUCCAGUAUAUGUACGGCCUGGAGAGGAUAUAAAGCAGAAGGACACUAACUUCGAAGGGCUGGGUCUAACUGGAGAGAGACCUGUAUGCCUCAACAGAAGCUGUCCUUGCUGGAGUUGGAUUGAGGCCAGCUGUAUAAAUAUUGAUAAAAGCAGCCCCUGCUAAUGUUUUUCUGCCUCUUUUACUAGACUAAUAUUAAUGUUUAAAAUGGGGAAAAGACCAUUGGUUAAUUUUUACCCAAAGAGUCUAAUAAAGCUUUGGUAAGUAAUUUUAACCUCUGCUGCUCAUGACUAGAGGAAAAUAUCUGAAUGAUAAGUUGGAUAUUUAGAAAUGAAAUUGCCCAGAAGAGGAAAAGCCUGUAGGGAGAUGAGCAUAGGCUAGAGCAUUUGUUUUCUGUUGUCACGUAACGUAUUACCACAGUCUCAGCCGCUUAAAACCACACAUGCUCAUCACCCUGCUGUUUCUCUCGGUCAGGACUCUGGGCACAGCUUAGCCCGCUAAUCUGCUUAGGGCCUCACAAGGCUUCAAAAAAGGCAUCAGCCAAAGCUGGGUUCUCCUCAGAUCCUUGACAGGGCAGGUAUCUGCUUCCAAGCUCUCCCAGCUUGUUGGCAGAAGUCAUCUCCUUGUGGUUAUAAAAUUCAUGGCAAGUUGCUUCUUUAAAACCAACACUGGAGUGAGAGACUUUAGCAAGAUGGGUGCUACCCUCUUAGGUAAUCAUAUAAAUGCAGUGGCCUAGAUUCUGUCUCCUCUGUUGCAUUCCAUUGGUUGGAAGCAAGUCACAGGUCCAGCUCACACUCAAGGAAGAGGGGAAUUCCACAAAGGUGUGACCACCAGGGGACAGGAUCAGGGAGGCCUCUAUAAAGUCGACCUGCCAAACCCAGUCAGUCCAUCCUUAAGUUGCACCCAGGGGAUUCCCCAGAAUGGUACUCCUUUGCCUCCCAUCAUUUCAAACCUUACAAGGACUUCUUCUGUCCUGUCCUUGUGUCUCAGAGAAUUGCUCUAUUUCAGAAGGUUUUUCUGGCCACUCCUUGGUGACCAUUGGCCUUUGGUCAGGCUCAGGGGAGACAAAAGUUACCCAAGCACUCUUUUUAAGGGCCAUUCCAGUUCUCAAGGUCUUCUCAAUCUAAAUGGUGCCUCUUUCAGGCCAAACACAUAUUAUAUUCAUCUUUUCUUGUUAACAGUACUAACUAGUAUGCUUAUCAUUCUGUCACAGUUUCACCAAGGACAAUUUGGAAUUGCACUGGCCAUUUUAGGGGGCUUUUGACACGAGCAAGAUUGUAUGUUUGGGAGGUACUUUAGAACAAAAAAGAACAAACAGUGAAGAAACCUCCAUGAAGACAUUAUUUGUCUUUAAAAAAAAAAGACCAUUUUAUUUAAUAUAGAGAAUAUUUAAUAUACUCUCCUUCCUUUCUAUACUUUGAGGAGUAUUAAGUACUGGCUUUUUGAUCACACAGCUUGAUAAAAAUAUCAAGGGUCCAAGUUACUGUCUAAACCAUCUGUCGCUCUCUUUUUAUGUAUAUGUGUCAAAAUCUGUUUUAUACAUUUAAGCUUUUCUCAGCUUUAAGACCUUGGUAAACAAUGAAUUAAUUAAAACUGGAAGUCUGGACAGUUUCUAAAUAAGAAACUGAUACAAAACAUUAGUCACUAAAUAAAACUUUUACCCUUAUUUCUCAGAAUGGCAAUCCAUUAACAAAUGAUGAAAAUGCCUUUGAAUAAUAUUAUUUAUGUUUCUUUUUCCCUCAAAAUUAUUAAAAUGAUAUGAAAUGAGUGCUCAUGGAGAAAAAAAUAGCCAAACAAUUCAUUUUCUGUUCUCUAAUUUUCUGGAGAAAAAAAAAAUAGUUGAUCACUUCAAGAGAAUAUAAACAGUUAAUUAUACCAGGCACAGUAAUUACAGAGAAAUACAAAUAUGUAUUUAACAUAAUGGAUAUGAUUUUCUGCUUAUUAACAUGGUAAAUUUAGUGAUAUGUACAUUUUGUAUUUAAUACACUGAUAAAUUAUGUUUUAAAUCUAUAGGUAUUCAAUAUAAGCUUUAAAUGUCUUAAAUAUAUUUACACAUGCCUAAAUACUUGCAUAUAAAGGUAUAUUAGUAAUUACUACAAUCUGUGCAUGAAUAAUGUAAAAUAAAAGUAAAAAUAGAAUUUGGGUAAACUAAGGUAGUUUUCAUCAAAUUAUUUCCUAUUUUGGGGUACUUAUCACAUAUCUUGUCUUCUAUAAAAACUAGUCUUCAUUUUGCCUUUCCCAAAAUCAUACCUAGAUUCAAAAUAAUAAAAUUGUUAGGAUGAAUUUUAUGCCUGCAUUAUCUGUGGAUUUUCUAAAGUGGCCGUUCAAUGGCAUAAAUAAAGAUUCGCUGUUAACCACAUAAAAGUAAGGGCAAUAGGAAUGGUUGUCCAAAGGUUCUCCAAACUUCAAUUCUAUUGCGAGAAGUUUUGUCUACCAAGCUUAUUUUCUUUUAAUUAAUUAAUUAAUUUAUACUUUGG